rnacentral:rRNA from 1 species
GGGGAGCUUGCUCCUGCUGACGAGCGGCGGACGGGUGAGUAACGCGUAGGAAUCUGCCUAGUAGAGGGGGACAACAUGUGGAAACGCAUGCUAAUACCGCAUACGCCCUGAGGGGGAAAGGAGGGGACUUUUCGGAGCCUUCCGCUAUUAGAUGAGCCUGCGNGAGAUUAGCUAGUUGGUAGGGUAAAGGCCUACCAAGGCGACGAUCUCUAACUGGUCUGAGAGGAUGACCAGUCACACUGGGACUGAGACACGGCCCAGACUCCUACGGGAGGCAGCAGUGGGGAAUAUUGGACAAUGGGCGGAAGCCUGAUCCAGCCAUGCCGCGUGUGUGAAGAAGGCCUUAUGGUUGUAAAGCACUUUCAGGGGUGAGGAAGGGUGAUUGGUUAAUACCCAAUUAUCUUGAC